CCCUGCUACAGGAAGUCAGUACCCAGGGAAGUCAAUAAAAGCUUCCCUCACCAACAUGGCUGGUUCCCCACUUCCUGUCAAGAUGGAGGACCAUACCACCACACCCAACUCAGGACACUCCCAACCACAGGCCUCCAGUCCUGAUACCCCAGGUACUGCCCUGCUACAGGAAGUCAGUACCCAGGGAAGUCAAUAAAAGCUUCCCUCACCAACAUGGCUGGUUCCCCACUUCCUGUCAAGAUGGAGGACCAUACCACCACACCCAACUCAGGACACUCCCAACCACAGGCCUCCAGUCCUGAUACCCCAGGUAAGUGAAUUUUGUUUUUAUUAUUUUCCUUACUAGACCCAAGGUUCAGCAACACAAUACACAAACAGUUAAAAAAACAAUUUGCAGAAAAUGUCCAGAUACAUACAGAGACAAA